rnacentral:misc_RNA from 1 species
AAAGUCGUAACAAGGUUUCCGUAGGUGAACCUGCAGAAGGAUCAUUACUGCUUGCUUAUAGCCAUCUGGGUGGGGAAACCCCCUCAACAGUACAGCAACAUACCCUUAACUAUGUAUACCUAUCAUUAUUUCCCUCGGCAGAGCAAUCCGCCGCUAGGGACACCACAAACUCUUAUAUAAAGCAUUUAAAAUUCUAAAACAAACUUAAAAUAUCACAACUUUCAACAAUAGAUCUCUUAGUUCUA